UCUUCGUCUGAACUCUCUUCAUCACUAGAAAUUUCAUAAAGAAUUUCUUCAUCAUCAAAAAUUUCUUCUCCGUAUAGUAUUUCGAAGUUUUGUUCUUCAAAAACAUUAAUCAUUUUCCUUGCACUUUUCCCUCUAUUAGGGCAUUCAGAUACAUAAAGAAAUAACAUUUACAAGAUUUAUUUUUUCGAAAACUUAUUUAUUUCUUUUUGCAAACAAAUUUUUUUCUUUUUUUUAAUUUUUUUUUUUUUUUUUUUUUCCAUUUAAAUCAUUUUUGUUUGGAAAAUCUUGUUCAUUUUCUUUUUGUAACAAGAUUACAACCAAUUUUUCAAGUUCUUUCAAAAUUGUCACAACAUUGUUGAUCAUAUUUUGAAUUUGAAAUUUGGUUUUAACCGACUUUUUCGUUUAUACUUCCAAGCAUUGAUUUGCUAUCAAUCUUGGGACAUAGUUUAUAAAAUUUUAGAUGAUUAGCUACCAUUUACAUGUUUAUUACUCAAGGUAAAAAGACAGUUGUACAAAGAACCAAAUGUUAAUCAUGUGAGCAAUGAUGUAAAUGAUGUCGUAAUCGACUACUCUGGACGUCAAAUAACAAUUUUGAAGUCCACAAGAAUUUUGUAUAUAAGGGCAAGUUUGCCUUGAGUAAUAAACAUGUAAAUUCUCCUUGCCUGACUUCUUGCCUAACUUUAAAAAUCCUUAGUCUUUAGUUUAGCUACUUUCUUUCCUUCCAUAUUUUGUUGUAUUUAGUAUUAGAGCUUCGUAAAGAGCUUAUAAGAGCAAGACCAAGUUUGUGUAUAUAGUAUGUUUUGUAUGCAAUGUGCUUCCAAGUGUUUCUUUUCUAUAUAUUGUGUUUUUAAUUAAGGUCAAUCAUGUAUGAUCCAUCACAUGUGAUCCAUGGAUUCCAACUUAAUCCUACACGUGAUUCAUGUCCAACUUGUACCUAGCCCCAAAAUUACCUAGGAUGGGAGCAAGGUCUAGGAUCUCCACUCAAGAUCAUUAAAGUACUUGUGUCUUUUAUGCUAGAGUUGAGGAAUUGUUAAGGUCCAAAUUCCUAACCUUUGAUAUUGUCAUAAUUCCCAGACCAUUUUCAUAUGGUCGGGCAGAGCUACAAAUGAACCAAAUUGUUCACGAACAGGCUCAACUCAGCUCAUUAACGGCUUAGCUCAUUUAGUAAACGAGCCAAACUCGAACUUAAAUAUUAGGCUCGUUUACUAAACGAGCCGAGUUCAAGCUCGAAUAAGAUCAGCUCGUCAAGUUCGGCUCUUUUAUCUUUAUUUAAUAUAAAUACAUUAUUUAUAUAUUAAAUAAUAUUUUUUAUUUAAAUAAUAUAAAUUAUAUUAAAAAAAAAUCUUAUCGAGCCUAGCUUGAGCUCAAUAAAGGAGCUCUCAGCUCGGCUCGGCUCGGCUCGAUUGCAACCCUAUAGUCAGGACAAAAUAUCAUUGAUGGAUUAAGAUUUUGAUAUUGCCAGGGAUAUUCUCUUGUAUGGUCUAACCGCACAUAGACCAUCUUGAUAUGGUCUGUAUAAAAGAUCAUUGACGAAUCAAGACUUCGAUAUUGUCAGGAAUAUUCUCUUGUAUGGUCUAACCAGACAUGCCCUAGUUUCCUCUAUGUAAGGGGCUCACCAUGCUUCUAAGAGUGCCUUAGCAAUCUCCUCCUCCACCUAUGGCGAUCCUGAGUGACCCUAACCCUUCUAAUUGCCUACCAUCUUUCCAGAUUAGUUUCCCUGGACUAUCACAAAAUUUGUGUGAUUAUGAGGUGUUUGAUAGGAUGAAUAUAUAUGUAUUUAUGUAAUUAAAUAUAUGUAUAUGUAUAAUUAAAAAUGAUUAAGGUCUCGUUUGUCAACUAUACAUUUUAAUCAAAAAA